UGACGGAACCACCUAUUGCAAGGAGUUUGCAGACAACAACUCUGAGUUCUCAUUAUGCCAGACUCUUAACGGUGGCUGCACCCUAAGUUGUUGUUGGAAGCAAGAGAGGCGAGAAUUCCGAAGAACUUCAGCGCCAGAUGGCUUCAAAUGCGGGAGCGGAACGAAUAAGAUAUGCUUCAUGGACAAGUGUGUACCACGCAAGUUUCUCGAGAGGAAGGGCUCAAGUAAGAAGCCCAAAAAGCACUAAUUCU